AAACAAAACAAAAAGUUUGUUCCAAUACGUUGUGUAGUUUCUGAGAAAAAGGUUCAUAAAGUUUGAAAACCAUAGUUUUCCAGGAGCGGCGUUUUAUUCCGCCGAAGUUGUUGCCCCGUAAAUGUAUGUCACCAGCGACCGACAUGAACUCAUCUAUCACUUCUAGUUUGUCGCUGUCGAUGGUUACCGUUCGUGAGAGGCGUAUAUGAUUCGCAAGAUGCUUACUUACUUUACUUUAGUGGCAACGGUCCGUUACCGAUCCUGCGCCGAACGAAUUAUGGUCCUCCAGUACCGUCGGUCCUGGGCUGCCGUUUUCCAAUCCCCACGAACACCAGCUGAACGGGCAUCAUCUUCGACAGCACACACCCACCGAGUGCUGGGUCUGCCUCGAAGUCUACGGCCUCUUCCUGGUUCUCUGCUGAAAAUAGUUUUGGCUACUCUUUCAUCGGGAAUUCUGGCCACGUGUCCAGCCCACCGCAGCCUGCCACAUUGCACUACCUACAUUUACGCGUACAUUGUACAUGCUCAAAACGUACAUUUUACGCUCAAAAACCCCAAGCACUCGCCGGUCAGCUUCCUUUAGCGUCCAUGAUUCGUGUCCGUAAAGGACCACCGGGAGGAUUAGUGUUCUGUAGAGCGCCAGUUUUGUGCGAAUUUGCAAAGUACGGGGCUUCAGCUGGCUACGUAAUCCGUAGAAAGCCCGAUUCGCGGCUGCAGCUCGUCGUUUCACUUCGCGGCUUACAUCGUUGUCACAUGUAACGAGUGUACCAAGGUAUAUGACUUCCUUCACUACUUCAUAGCGUUCCCCAUCUAACUCCACCUCGGUACCAAGUACUAACACCACUUGGGCUCCAGCGUUCCCUACCAGGAACCAUGUACUUCGUUUUGGCGGUGUUAAUGGUAAGUCCCAAUCUCGCCGCUUCCCUUUUAAAGGGCCUGAAGGCCUCUUCCACUGCUCUACGGUUGAUUCCGAUGAUAUCGACGUCAUCUGCAAAACCAAGAAGCAGGUGAGAUUUCGUGAUGAUAGUUCCAUAUCUUUCCACGCUUGCCCUUCGUAAUGCACCUUCCAAGGCAAUGUUGAAUAGCAGGUUAGAGAGUGCAUCCCCUUGCUUCAGUCCAUCCAACGUCACGAAAGCAGCUGAGGUUUCACCCGCUAUUCUAACGCAUGAUUUGAAUCCGUCCAGCGUCGCACGAAUCAGCGUAACUAGUUUCGUCGGAAAACCAUGCUCUAGCAUUAUCUGCCACAGCUCAUUCCGUUUAACUGAAUCGUACGCCGCUUUAAAGUCCACAAACAGAUGGUGUGGCUGCAAGUUGUACUCCCGGAACUUGUCUAGCAACUGACGCAGUGUAAACAUCUGAUCCGUCGUGGAGCGACCCUCACGAAAACCAGCUUGGUAUUCGCCGACGAAGAACUCCGCUAACGGUCUCAGUCUGCAGAACAGGAUACGAGAAUGCACCUUGUAGGCAGAAUUGAGCAAUGUAAUUCCUCGAUAGUUUUUACACUCCAGUCGAUGUCCCUUUUUGAAAAUUGGGCAAAUGAGGCCAUCCAACAACUCCUCCGGUAUUUGUUCUUCCUCCCAGAUCCUGACAAUGAUCCGGUGGAUUGCUUCGUACAGCCGCUCGCUCCCCGCUUUUAGAAGUUCAGCCAGGAUACCGUCCUUCCCGGCAGCCUUACCGUUUUUCAGCUCACUGAUUGCCUUUUUGACCUCCUCCUUUGUGGGUGGCUCCACAGCUUGACCAUCGCUUACAAUUCCUAUCCUGUCCCUGCUGAUCUCCGCAUUUACCUCUCCAUUCAACAGUAUCUGAAAGUGCUUCUUCCACCUGGCUGCUACCGCCGUUUUGUCGCCAGCACUAUCAUUGCAUAUCACAGGCAUGGCAAAAUUCCUGCAUCUCACAGUUUUAUAGAAACUCAGUGUGUCGUUGCUGGCGCAUCGCUCCUCUGUGCCGACGAGCACGUGCUCCUCGUACUCGCGUUUCUUUAGACGAUGGAUUCUUUUUUCCGCAGCUCUAGUCUUUCAGUACUUCUCUCUGUAUUGACGCGUAGCCGCAGUGAGCAUGUGACUCCUGGCCUGGUUUUUUUCAUCUGUCACUCUCUGGCAUUCGGCAUCAAACCAGCUGUUACGCUGUCUUCCACGCGUCGUGCCUAUCACCUCUCUCGCAACUGUUUCGAAGGCACCGUGGAUGUUCCUCCACAGCCCAUUUAUAUCUUUUCCUGCUACCUGCUGUUCUGCGAUUCGUUAGUCAAGCUUCCUGGCGUACUCCACUGCUACGCCGUCUGCCGUUAACCGCUGGAUGUUGAAACGCUGCGUCCUCUUAGUGCGAGCUUUCGCCGUGUUCGACAGCCUUGCGCGAAUCUUACUCACCACGAGGUCAGAGUCGAUAUUUGGUCCCCGAAAAGACCGUACAUCGAUAACAUCCGAAAAGUGUCGUCCGUCAAUUAAGACAUGAACGAUCUGAGAGGUAGAGUCUCCAUUUGGAUGCCUCCAGGUGUGUUUUCGAAUAUUCAAACGAGUAAAGUAGGUGCUACAGAUGACCAUUCCUCUGGCCGCGGCAAAAUUCUAUUGCUUCGUAUUACUCCAGGAGGGAGCAUGUGUCUACGCACUCCACCUAUCCUGGCUGCUAUAUGCCCACAGAACAGAAAGGGGAGGUAAAAAUCCAAACAGGUACAUGCUACUUUCUACAGAUAUUAGCGAACCUGGCGGUAGCGAGUCACUUUCCAUACGUCGGUUCAUGCGGUCUAGACCUGGCCUGCCUCACCCAGGGACUGUUCCACCUGUACUUCGAGCUCUGGAUCGUUGGGUUACUCGAAGAGCAUUUCCCCAGCCUGGGUGCGGCGGGGUUUUACUAGGUUGGUCCCCAGCUCUUGCAGCAUGAGAUCAGCCUUCACCUUACAAAGUAGAUCGGCCUACGACAAUUGACCUGUCAGCUUUCAACGCAUCGCCCCUGUGGGCCCGCUUCGGCUUUUACUUUGCAGUUGCAGCCUCCCUCAGUUUUUGGGUAGGCGGUUUGCGCCUAACUACCUGCCAUUCGUCUUCAGCCAGGACCUAUUCCGUCUCUUUGCUGGUAGACGCGCAGUUGAUACGCUGCCUCUUUACUACCAACGUCGGCCCGCUGUCAGGCGUCGCCGCUUGCGCAGUGGUAGAAAUGGACAUUCGACCACGAGUUGAUGAACGAGUACAACUCGUCCACCAAUCUUUUUGCGUCCUCCAGCUUGCUACUGGCUGGAGGUAGUUUUACUUCCGCAACAAAGGUUUUGCCACAUCCUCGGUCGACGGCAACCUUGGUUGUUUUUACCACCUUUUGUUUGUUUUCUACCUUUUUGGCUAGCAGCGGCAGCCACCUGCAGUCUAACCGGGGUGUUAGACAACGGUGGAGUCGAGUGCUUGGGCAGCGGUCCCGAUUCCGUGGGCUAUCUUUCUUCGUUGGCGGUGAACGCGCCAACUUGCUACUUUUGAUAAUGACUUCAUUUUUACCUCCAGUAACGCUCUCGGUCGAAAUCACGUUUUGAAUAUGAUGUUUAUUCAUAUUCUAGGCUGCUAUCUCUGCUAGUGUGUAGUUGCCUGUAUGAUCCCAAGGUUAUCUAUGCAAACAGGGAAGCCAUGCGAGGACUGUCCCGCUAUCCAUCAUGGGGAUAUGGUACAGAGCCAGAUCAGCGCUAGUCAGUAAUGUAUUAUGUGAGCCUACAACCACCGACUUUGACGUGCGUGACGAGCUUCGAACGUAUCUAGAGAUCAGCCACGGUUUUAGUGGGACGGAAGCCAGCCGCACCAGUAGUCUACUUGCCGUUUCGGGAAAGUGUCACCCUUCCUUACCUAAGGUAGUAGAAUAGCACAACUGUCAGCCCUAUAACGUCUUAUCCGAUCGUAUCCUGCCAUUCCAGUAUGCCAUAAUUAGGCACUCCCGACCUGGCUUUUGGGUUUAAAGUCCUGUGCUGCAACAGGGCACUAUGGCAUCUGCAACUGGCUUAUGGAACUUGAGCUACUACUUGCGAGAUGACGCAUGGAAACUUCACCGAUUAUCAUUUUGACUCUCUAUGAGUCAACUGAGUCUCUCGUCGCGAAUUUCUGGAUUCUCUUUCCCUUAGUGGUAAGCUGGCAACCACCUUCUUUAACCAGUUCGAGGUUUCCUGGACUUUACAAAAAGAACCAGGUACCCGGACUUAUCCAUUGAAUCCAGCUGAGCCGUGCUCAGUUCAGUAUACUAAGAUAGUCCUCAGAGAGGAUCCCAAUUCUGAUCUGACCUACGGCCUCCCUGUAAGAGUCAGAAGAUGCUUUUAGGUGCUUCACUCCUCUAGGCCCUCCUCCACGAGUGCAAUGGGAGAUACGGAUACGGAUUUUUCCAGUUGUGGCACUCCAUGGCCAUGAAGCGGGGAAGAGAGCGACCGUCGCGCUAUCGGUAUCUUUGAGCGCAAGCUCUUACGGUCAACUUUUGAUGGUAAACUUAAGGAUGACGUGUGAUGACAUACUACAAUGGGCUGGCCACGUAGCAAGAAUGGCGGAUGCACGAACAACAAAGCAGAGAAUCUCGAAGAGAUUGACGACUUCUAGGCAGACCCCGCACCCAUUGGAUGCGCGCUGUCUACAAGGUUGCUUAAGCAGCGGACGCUCGGGGCGAUUGGAAAAUAGCAGCUCAGCUCGAUUAAUUCUGAACUUUUACUAUUUGGAAUAGCUAGUUAAUUUGCCUUUUCAUGCCAGAUUUAAAUUUAAUCAUCAACUAACAAAUGGAAUAGCCUUGCAAACCUAAAUAAAAUUUGAUCAUUUUUUUAAAACUCGCCUAAUAAGCUAGAAUAAUGGAGAGAUUUGUCAUCUGCUAAGUACAUUCUCAGCUUCUCCAAUAAUAGUUUAUUGAAGUAUAAUGCUUAACCAUCUAAAUACAACAAGAAAUUCAUUUGUUAGGAAAAGUACAAUUGCUGCUAGCCGAUGCUAAGACUACUAUUUCACCGAUAUUUUCAACAAAUAUACAGGAAUUGGUGCAGCUCAAAUAUGCAUUCAUUACAGAGUCGUUAAAGAGUCUCAAAUUUUUAACCACUAUUAUAUUAAAAUUAAAAUAAUAUU